AAAAAAAGAAAAAUUGAGACAUUCAAUUUCUCCUCAAUUUUUUUUCUCUUUCAUCCAAACCAUCCAUCAAAAUUGAUGAAUAGUUAGAAAAUUAGGAACAUCAUAAGUUCUGUGCUCUUAGUAGUACAGUGUAUAUAUACAGAGAGUGAGGCUACUAUGCUAUCGGAAGUACGGAGCCUUUCGUGUUUCCAGCUCGUUUUCGAUGUUACGACUUUCGAAUCGUCGAUCGGCUCCGUUAAACUUGAUCUAGAGUAUUUGAAGUACCUAAAAAAUAAAUUUUAUGAUUUUACGAUAUCAUUUGCCUAGUGAACGAAGCGGCUCAAAAUCAACGGCUGAAAAUAAAAAUCUUACAAAAUGUAAUAAUAUGACAUUAAAAUUUUAAAUCAAAGAUAUUGAUCUUGUUUUAUAUAGUAUAAAGAAUUUUCUAUCAAAAUUUCACGUGAUUUAGAUAUUUCUACACCGUUAAACUUGCAAACGGCUU
rnacentral:lncRNA from 1 species